rnacentral:rRNA from 1 species
GUGGGGAAUCUUGCACAAUGGGCGAAAGCCUGAUGCAGCCAUGCCGCGUGAAUGAUGAAGGCCUUAGGGUUGUAAAAUUCUUUCGUCAGGGAUGAUAAUGACCGUACCUGAAGAAGAAGCCCCGGCUAACUUCGUGCCAGCAGCCGCGGUAAUACGAAGGGGGCUAGCGUUGUUCGGAAUUACUGGGCGUAAAGCGCACGUAGGCGGACUAUAAAGUCAGGUGUGAAAUCCCGGGGCUCAACCUCGGAACUGCAUUUGAAACUGGAAGUCUUGAGAUCAGGAGAGGUUAGCGGAAUACCGAGUGUAGAGGUGAAAUUCGUAGAUAUUCGGUGGAACACCAGUGGCGAAGGCGGCUAACUGGACUGAUACUGACGCUGAGGUGCGAAAGUGUGGGGAGCAAACAGGAUUAGAAACCCCAGUAGUCC